rnacentral:rRNA from 1 species
GAUGAACGCUGGCGGCGUGCCUAUACAUGCAAGUCGAGCGAACAGACGAGGAGCUUGCUCCUCUGACGUUAGCGGCGGACGGGUGAGUAACACGUGGAUAACCUACCUAUAAGACUGGGAUAACUUCGGGAAACCGGAGCUAAUACCGGAUAAUAUAUUGAACCGCAUGGUUCAAUAGUGAAAGACGGUUUUGCUGUCACUUAUAGAUGGAUCCGCGCCGCAUUAGCUAGUUGGUAAGGUAACGGCUUACCAAGGCGACGAUGCGUAGCCGACCUGAGAGGGUGAUCGGCCACACUGGAACUGAGACACGGUCCAGACUCCUACGGGAGGCAGCAGUAGGGAAUCUUCCGCAAUGGGCGAAAGCCUGACGGAGCAACGCCGCGUGAGUGAUGAAGGUCUUCGGAUCGUAAAACUCUGUUAUUAGGGAAGAACAAAUGUGUAAGUAACUAUGCACGUCUUGACGGUACCUAAUCAGAAAGCCACGGCUAACUACGUG